rnacentral:rRNA from 1 species
CUACGGGGCGCAGCAGUAAGGAAUAUUGCGCAAUGGAGGCAACUCUGACGCAGCCAUGCCGCGUGCAGGAAGAAGGCCUUAUGGGUCGUAAACUGCUUUUAUUUAGGAAUAAACCUCCGAACGUGUUCGGGGCUGAAGGUACUAAACGAAUAAGCACCGGCUAACUCCGUGCCAGCAGCCGCGGUAAUACGGAGGGUGCAAGCGUUAUCCGGAUUUAUUGGGUUUAAAGGGUGCGCAGGCGGGCUAUUAAGUCAGUGGUGAAAUCCCGGGGCUCAACUCCGGAACUGCCAUUGAUACUGAUAGUCUUGAGUUUGGUUGAAGUGGGCGGAAUGUAGCAUGUAGCGGUGAAAUGCAUAGAUAUGCUACAGAACACCAAUCGCGAAGGCAGCUCACUAAGCCAAAACUGACGCUCAUGCACGAAAGCGUGGGGAUCAAACAGGAUUAGAUACCCCAGUAGUC